rfam:Arenibacter nanhaiticus strain CGMCC 1.8863 genome assembly, contig: Ga0066783_138
GAAAUGGCUCCUUUAGGGGCCACAGUCUUAAUAUAAUGGGUUGAAU